GACGAACGCUGGCGGCGUGCUUAACACAUGCAAGUCGAACGGUAAGGCUCCAGCUUGCUGGGGUACACGAGUGGCGAACGGGUGAGUAACACGUGGGUGACCUGCCCUGCACUUCGGGAUAAGCCUGGGAAACUGGGUCUAAUACCGGAUAGGACCGCACCGUGAGGGUGUGGUGGAAAGUUUUUUCGGUGUGGGAUGGGCCCGCGGCCUAUCAGCUUGUUGGUGGGGUAAUGGCCUACCAAGGCGGCGACGGGUAGCCGGCCUGAGAGGGUGGACGGCCACAUUGGGACUGAGACACGGCCCAGACUCCUACGGGAGGCAGCAGUGGGGAAUAUUGCACAAUGGGCGGAAGCCUGAUGCAGCGACGCCGCGUGGGGGAUGACGGCCUUCGGGUUGUAAACUCCUUUCACCAUCGACGAAGGGUUUCUGACGGUAGAUGGAGAAGAAGCACCGGCUAACUACGUGCCAGCAGCCGCGGUAAUACGUAGGGUGCGAGCGUUGUCCGGAAUUACUGGGCGUAAAGAGCUCGUAGGUGGUUUGUCGCGUCGUCUGUGAAAUUCCGGGGCUUAACUCCGGGCGUGCAGGCGAUACGGGCAUAACUUGAGUACUGUAGGGGAGACUGGAAUUCCUGGUGUAGCGGUGAAAUGCGCAGAUAUCAGGAGGAACACCGGUGGCGAAGGCGGGUCUCUGGGCAGUAACUGACGCUGAGGAGCGAAAGCAUGGGGGGCGAACAGGAUUAGAUACCCUGGUAGUCCAUGCCGUAAACGGUGGGCGCUAGGUGUGGGUUUCCUUCCACGGGAUCCGUGCCGUAGCUAACGCAUUAAGCGCCCCGCCUGGGGAGUACGGCCGCAAGGCUAAAACUCAAAGGAAUUGACGGGGGCCCGCACAAGCGGCGGAGCAUGUGGAUUAAUUCGAUGCAACGCGAAGAACCUUACCUGGGCUUGACAUAUACAGGAUCGCGCCAGAGAUGGUGUUUCCCUUGUGGCUUGUAUACAGGUGGUGCAUGGUUGUCGUCAGCUCGUGUCGUGAGAUGUUGGGUUAAGUCCCGCAACGAGCGCAACCCUUGUCUUAUGUUGCCAGCACGUUGUGGUGGGGACUCGUAAGAAACUGCCGGGGUUAACUCGGAGGAAGGUGGGGAUGACGUCAAAUCAUCAUGCCCCUUAUGUCCAGGGCUUCACACAUGCUACAAUGGUCGGUACAGUGGGUUGCCAGUCCGUGAGGGCGAGCUAAUCCCGCAAAGCCGGUCUCAGUUCGGAUCGGGGUCUGCAACUCGACCCCGUGAAGUCGGAGUCGCUAGUAAUCGCAGAUCAGCAACGCUGCGGUGAAUACGUUCCCGGGCCU
rnacentral:rRNA from 1 species